rnacentral:lncRNA from 1 species
AAACAAGUCACUUGGUGGCUCUAAGGAACUCCGGGAAGCACCGGGGUGGCUUGUCCUCCUUCACUCCCUCAUAGCGCCCUGUUAGACACCCUCACUUGUCUGUCUUCCCUGCCGGACCGUGAGCGGGAGGAGGAUCACGCAUUGACCACACGUCUACCAAGUGUUUUCCCUGAGCCAGGUCCCGGGAGGGAGGGCCCCUGUGCUCACCUGCAUCCCAGAACUAGUGUGGAAGCAGCUGCUCUGGAAGCCUUGGCAGGGCUGCUGAAGCAAACCUCUCCCUCUGGUCUGCCUUCCUCAUACUCAGCCUUUAAAAUUCGCCCCAGCUACCUUCUCCAGGGAUGGAAGUGGACAUUAUGCCAGGCAAGAGUGACAGUAUAUUCAAUCCUUGGGAACAUCUUAAAAGCUGAACUCGAGUAUUUUGGGCCCUAAGAAGGAAGGACAAAGAUCCCUGGAGAACUCUCCUGUGGUGUCCUUGUUUUGAGUAGCAAUGGAGGGCAUGUCAUUGGUGGUACACUUUACAGUUAUCAAAUACUGAGGCUAGAUCAUGAAGGAACUAGAGGAUGAAUGGACAUUACCCCUGGAUGCUGGUCUUGAACACAGAUGCCGUAACCAUAAUCCUUCAGGUUGUCCAACUUCUGGAAUGGCUGUUUUCAUCUUGGCCCCAGGAGCUUGUCCUCAUUUUCUGAGGCGACAGAAGAGGAACUGAGAACCCAAAUUCUUUGUGCAAUGCAGGCUCUCUGGGUGUCAAAUACCCAUAAAACCAUUGCAUCCCGGCCUCAAGGUGGUGGUAUUUGCCUCCCACUCUCAAAGGAACAUCUGGAAGCCUGAAUGGAGAAGGAGGGCUGAUCAGCCAUCAGCUCAGCUGGGGCAGUGUUCCCUGACCUGUCAGCUCUUCCCCUUCAGACCUCAGAGGAUAGAGAGGGUCAGCUGGCAACCUCCACUGAGCCUGUGAACCAGUCCCAGGAGCUUCUCCAGCAGGUGUUUGUCCUUAGGCGGAGAUGUUUCCUGGAUGCCUCACUCCUUUGCCUCUCAAGGAUAAAUGCCCCGAUGACAGAAACCCCCAGCCCCUGCCCAGUGACAGGAAGUGCUGACUUCAACACUGGGUCCUGCCAUUUACCAGAGAGCCCUUGAAGAAAAAAUCAAGAGGAGAAAGGCCCAAAAGAAAGAAAACACGGUGGGCCAGAAAAAUUUCAUCAGGCAGAUUGCUUCAAGAUGAAGACCAACCAGAGAAAAUAUUCCCAGGAGUUAAAAUACGCAGCACGUUUUAGAUACCAAUGACGGCGAUUUGCUUUCUCUUCAUUUCUGUCUUCACAUUGCUGACAACUCCCCUCAUUGUCUUAAAUAUGGAUUGCCAAAGUCAAUUAAAUACGCAAGAGGAACAUUGUACAUUUUGGAGGAAAGUAAUUAUUGUUACACCUUAGAGCAGCUUAAUGAAUACAUUAAUAAACGAUCCUUCGCCAUGUUUUUCUUUUCAUAGCCAUCAAAAUCUUUAUAAAACCUACAGCACAAUACAUAACAUCUCGUUACAAGAUUUGCUUUUAAAAAAAUCAAUGCAUACCUAA